CCUACGGGAGGCAGCAGUAGGGAAUUUUCCGCAAUGGGCGAAAGCCUGACGGAGCAAUACCGCGUGAGGGAUGACUGCCUGUGGGUUGUAAACCUCUUCUCAAGGAAGAAGUCCUGACGGUACUUGAGGAAUAAGCAUCGGCUAACUCUGUGCCAGCAGCCGCGGUAAUACAGAGGAUGCAAGCGUUAUCCGGAAUCACUGGGCAUAAAGCGUCUGUAGGUGGUUUGGUAAGUCUGCUGUUAAAGACUGGGGCUCAACCCCAGAAAAGCAGUGGAAACUGCCAAACUUGAGUGUGGUAGAGGUAGAGGGAAUUCCUAGUGUAGCGGUGAAAUGCGUAGAUAUUAGGAAGAACACCAAUGGCGAAAGCACUCUACUGGACCAUAACUGACACUGAGAGACGACAGCUAGGGGAGCAAAUGGGAUUAGAUACCCCAGUAGUCCUAGCCGUAAACGAUGGAUACUAGAUGUUGCACGUAUUAACCCGUGCAGUAUCGUAGCUAAGGCGUUAAGUAUCCCGCCGUGGGAGUACGCUCGCAGAGUGAAACUUAAGGAAUUGACGG
rnacentral:rRNA from 1 species